GGUGCAUUGCUGUAAUGGUAUCAGAGAGGUUUGCUAAGCCUUCCAGCAGAAAUGCUGUCCGUGUUCGAAUCACGGAUGCACCG
rnacentral:tRNA from 1 species